UUUCCCCUUGCCCGACAACCCUUCUUAUCACUCUCUCCCCCUCAUAUUUUCUCUGCCGUGCCAUUUCCCUUCGCCUUAGCUCUCGUACUCGUAUAUCUCUCUGCACUGCCAACACCAUCACACAAACACCAUUCAUCGCAAUCCUCAUUUCUCCCUCCCCGUGCAGCCUUUAACCCCCAUCACAACUACCUUAUCUCUCCAUCAGAAACAUCAUCAAAUAACCUUCAUUCUAUGUCCUCAACUAAGCAAGGAGAACUCCUAUACUCCUCCACAUAGCUCGGCACAGUCACUGUGCAUACGUUUUUCGACUACUUAUCGCCGUAUCCGGUGAGGGUUUUAGCACAAAAAAAUACCUCGGGAAGCUUUUCCUAGAAAAUCUGGAAAUUCAAACCGUGGCUGUUUAGCCUUCUUCUAGCCACUUUUCCGGCCAACUCCGUGUUUCUUCAAUCCUUCCAAGGGUAUGAAUCUCUUCUCCACAUUCCUAACUACAUUUUGGAUUUUGAAUCACUCGAUUUGGGCUUGUAUUGAGCUCGGAAUGAGCUCUCGAAGACCUAGUGACGAGAAGUACAACCUAAGCAUCGAGACAUUCCCCUACUAGUGAUCUCGCGUCCUUCUACUUGUGUAUGGCUUCCUUAUGAUUGAUGGUAACUCAUUGUCUUUCAUUUCGUUAGCACGUUCGUUUUGAAAUAUGCUCUGAACAUAUUCGUGCAUCUUUUAUUUCGGUUAUUGAAACCAUCGGACAUUGCUUUCAUUCGUCUUUAUUUGGAAAUGUUAUUAUUGCCUUUCUUGCGUUGGUAUUUUUCCCUAUGAUUGUUAUUUGCUAUAUGAUUCUCGAAUUUCAUGUUUCCUUUUUAUACUUGCACUUUCACAUAUUUAUGACUUUCGUCACUCUCGAGUGUUGGCCAACACGUGCUAUCUAGCUAUCACUUGGAUUAUCUGGGUUGGGACAUGUCAUAUUUGGAGAUAACAUGAU
rnacentral:sRNA from 1 species